UACGUAGGGGGCAAGCGUUGUCCGGAAUCAUUGGGCGUAAAGCGCGUGUAGGCGGCUCGGUAAGUCCGCUCUGAAAGUCCAGGGCUCAACCCUGGGAUGCGGGUGGAUACUGCCGGCUCGAGUCCGGAAGAGGCGAGUGGAAUUCCCGGUGUAGCGGUGAAAUGCGCAGAUAUCGGGAGGAACACCAAUGGCGAAGGCAGCUCGCUGGGACGUGACUGACGCUGAGACGCGAAAGCGUGGGAGCAAACAGGG
rnacentral:rRNA from 1 species